UCUACUUUGCCUCCCCUUCCCAGGCACACAGGUCAACUGUGUUUCUCUGCCAGCCCCCUGGUGUCUCAGUGGGGCCAAGUGACUGAGUCUGGGCUGAUGGAAUGGGAGUUGAGGUAAUGUACACCACUUUUACUUGGCCCAUAAAGACAUCCUCAUGAUCUCUCCAUUGUCAGCUCCAAUUUCCUUCUGCUCUGAGCAGUAGGAAGCAAAGGAUUGCCAAGCCCGGUGGAUGACUGGAAAGCCCACAGUGGUGAUCCCUGAGUUACCACCAGGAGCGUUGCUCAGGGUGGCUUCCUGCCCAGGAACGUCCUGACUGGACUUUGUGAAAAGACGUAGCUUGAGGAAUCUGGCCUCGCUGACAAACAAGAUUCCCCAGCACACACCUACCAGUGGCUUUUGCUGCCCAGGCUGUUCUGCUGGUCUCCAGCCUUUGCUGUCACCUGAAAUGCUGCCUGCCUGCCACACAGGUGCUUUUGACAGCAAGAACCACUCAAAAGCCUCUCCACGCCUCUAUUCCAGGAAUAAUCGGAGGAAAGCGUUGAUGCCUGUAAAAGCUGAGUGCCGAAGCCCUCUCUGUCCACCGCUUCAGAAGAAUAACUACCCUCA